rnacentral:rRNA from 1 species
CCCCUAGAUGCUCUGGGCCGCACGCGCGCUACACUGAACAGUUCAACAAGUCUUAACCUUGGCCGAUAGGUCUGGGUAAUCUUUGAACGCUGUUCGUGAUUGGGAUAGACCUUUGCAAUUAUGGGUCUUCAACGAGGAAUUCCUAGUAAACGCAAGUCAUCAGCUUGCAUUGAUUACGUCCCUGCCCUUUGUACACACCGCCCGUCGCACCUACCGAUUGAAUGGUCCGGUGAAAUCUCGGGACGGCGGCUUGGUCGCUUGCGUCCGACUGCUGAAACUUGAUUAAACCAUNUNAUUUAUNGGAAGGUGAANUCGUANCA